UUCAGGCAAAAUUACUGAUAUGGUUCAGCGUUUAGCUGUUCUCACACGAGGAUCUAGUGGUUAUGAAAUAACAGUUUGUGUUCAUCCUUCUUCGGACCUUAGUUGUCAGUACCGUGCGGUUACAACAGUUUAAACAACAGGAUGUUAUUGCCGAUGUUGUAUCAAUCUGCGCAAUAAUUCGAAAAACAAUGUAUAUGAAACCACCUUAUCCGCAAUAAGUUGGUUUCCAUACCAGGAUUAGGCUUACCAUAUCAAUAAAUCAGCGCAUUUUUGUUCGUCAAACUCGCGUAUAAAACGUCUUACUUGCAAGAUAUUUUUCACAGUUACGAUGGCGAUUGAAGGAGGUAAAUCGAGUGGAAAAACUAUGGUCUUCAUUUAUAUCAUCGUUUUGGCGGGCCUACUUAAUCAUGUGUUAAUGGACCCAUGUACAGACAGCUCCACACAGCAGUUGGGGUCGAUUCGUCAAAGACUUGUUGGUUAUCAACUAGCAAAGGGUGAAGACGCGAUUUGCGAUGCCUUUUUAGAAAAAGGCUGGUACUUUACCGAAACGUUCGUUUUGGCCUCAACAAAGGAACGUUGUGGAACACUUCGAAAUUGGUAUCGCAAAGAGAAGGACAGUUUACCAGUCAAGGUAAACGAUCGAAGAGAUGUCGUCUUAUGCAGAAACGGACGAAAGAAUGAAUGUGAUAAAACAACUCAAGUGUCAGUCAUAAAAUGUUCUAAGGACAAGUAUGUGGUUCAUCUCAGUCCGGUAACGAGCUGUAUCGAGGCGUAUU